GACGAACGCUGGCGGCGUGCUUAACACAUGCAAGUCGAGCGGUAAGGCCCUUUCGGGGGUACACGAGCGGCGAACGGGUGAGUAACACGUGGGUGACCUGCCCUUAGCUCUGGGAUAAGCCUGGGAAACUGGGUCUAAUACCGGAUAUGACUCCAUGACGCAUGUUGUGGGGUGGAAAGCCUUGUGCGGCUAGGGGAUGGGCCCGCGGCCUAUCAGCUUGUUGGUGGGGUGAUGGCCUACCAAGGCGACGACGGGUAGCCGGCCUGAGAGGGCGACCGGCCACACUGGGACUGAGACACGGCCCAGACUCCUACGGGAGGCAGCAGUGGGGAAUCUUGCGCAAUGGGCGAAAGCCUGACGCAGCGACGCCGCGUGGGGAUGACGGCCUCGGUUGUAA
rnacentral:rRNA from 1 species